UACGUGGAGGGGCUAGCGUUGUCCGGAAUCAUUGGGCGUAAAGCGCACGUAGGCGGUCUGUUAUGUCGGAUGUGAAAGCCCUUGGCUCAACUGAGGAAGUGCAUCCGAAACUGGCAGGCUAGAGUACUAAAGAGGGUCGCGGAAUUCCCGGUGUAGAGGUGAAAUUCGUAGAUAUCGGGAGGAACACCAGUGGCGAAGGCGGCGACCUGGGCAGAUACUGACACUGAGGUGCGAAAGCGUGGGGAGCAAACAGG
rnacentral:rRNA from 1 species